UUAUUCUUUCUCGCUCGCACUCUCUCGCUCCUCUCCCUCGCAAGCUCGGUCGCGCUCACACACGCACACGCAUACACACACUCGGGUUCUCUCCCCCUCGGUUUCUCUACACCUCGCUCUCCUCUCGCUCUCUGCUCUCUCUCUUUCUCCUCUCUUCUCUCGCUCGCUCGCGCUCGCGCUCUCUCUCUCCUCUCCCCCCUCUCUCUCCCUCCCUCUCUCCUCUCUCUCUCUCUCCUUCUCCUCUCUCUCUCUCUCUUUCGGUCUGAUCUGAUUUUUUUUUUUUUUUUUUUUUUACAUUGAACAGACAGGAUCUCUGUCCUUUCCGUUUAAACAGGCUGGACCGGUUCAAGUUCCCAGUCAGACCAGGGGUGGGGGCCGCGAGUGUGCGCGCGCGGAGGAGGGGGGCACUGGGAGAAGGCGAGCUGGGGGCGGGGGGGAGCUCCCGCGCGGCGGCGGGCGGCGGCCAGGAGCAGGGCGGCGUGGGGCGGCGUCGGCCCCGCCGCGCCUCCCCCGUCGGCGACCCCAGCGAGCGGCGGUGGUACAGUCCGAGACGGCCCCGGGCUAUAAAUAGCGCCAGGCGCAUGGCUCUUCGGGAGGCGCUGAGAUUCCGGGCCCGGCGACCGCGGGGAGCGGGUGCCUCUUAGGAACCGGGUUGCUGGCCUCCUCUUUGCCUUUUGGGGGUUCUUUUUGUAAUAGCAGCAGAAAUGAGACCCGGCUUCCUGAAAAUCGAGACCAAGCCCGUUUGGUACAACCACAACGCGGAGCUCUCCAGCGCUGGGAAGAGGCCCAAGGAGGCCCCGAGGUUCGCAGCCCCAGGCCCCCAGCCCACCCGGGACACCUCUCCCUGAGGAUCCAGGGCCCAAACCAAACAGCAAGUACAAUUCUGAGAACUGUGGAACUUCCUCCUUUCAUUUUAAGCUUCUCCUGCCUUUGCUUGAUGGAAUCGUGUGUCUCUGAUUCCACCUUCCCUUAUGAGAAGCUCCACAUCCCCUUCCAUCCCUGGCUCUCAAGUGCCGUAUAUCUACAAAAGUGAAGAUCUGCUCUAAGAUUGGCUGGUGAGUAACCGGAACAGAUCUCUGUUCAGGGCUGGCUGUGUGGCCUGUAGACUUAGGCAUCUCCAUGCAAUGGUCCAUGCUGUGGGACCAACCCCAACACCUAUGUUGCAUGCAAUAUGUCAGAAGAUACAACCGUGCAGAAACUUUCAUCAGAUAUUGUUUUGUUGCAAAAAGGUACAAGAGGCCAUAAAUCGAUCAUUAUGCUUCUGGAACCCUUGGUCCUUGGGUCCUGCCUUAAUUAGAAAUGCACCUCACAGCAGGGUGUCAGCUCUCCUUCUGGCCAUAAUUCCCAGCUGAGAACCUGGGCGGUCCCCAGCCAGCCAAAAGUCAACCAUGAUCUCCACUGCGGGCCAUUGCACAGUGCUUUGCUUUACAGCUUUCAAAGCAUUCUCAAGUUCAUCAUUUCAUGAAAUUCUCAUAAAACUCUAUCAGGUAGAUAGAAAAAGAGUUCUCGUUUAGUGGAUGAAGAAAUAGAGGCUCAGAAGAGUUAACAAACUUGCAUGAAGCCUUCAGUUAGUGAGGGAUUGAUCUCGGAUAGAAGGCCAGGUCUUGGGCUUUCUUGCCGAACUUUCAUGGAGAAAUACUGAGCAAACAACCCCUGGCUUGGCAUCGGACUGCACCCUCAAGGUGUCCUGCAUCCUGGUACAGAUCUUGCCAAAACCAACCAGCUCAGGUGUCAGUACUUUCUUGAGCCCUUCUCU
rnacentral:lncRNA from 1 species